CGCACCCAGCGCGCGCCCAGGCGCCUGCGUCCCGAGUGCCCGCCAGCUCUUUGGCCACCUCGGCCGGCCCGGGAGCGCCGGGGGCAGCUCCGGGGGGCUUUGGAGUCGCGAGAGUGGCGGGGACCUCACCCCUACCCCGAAGCGCCGGACCGGUAGGGACGAUUACUGCAGCCGGGGCUGUGCACCCGCGGGAUCGGAGCCCGGGAAAAGGAAGCAAAAGCUUGGAACCUCCGCAGGCUGGACGAGGAUCCAUCUUUCACCUGAGCUGGGAAUAGACUUUGUAAAAGAUAUUAUGUAAUGGAGUCUCGGGCAGCUCGAGACGUCUCCAGCGAAGCUGCUGGUGAAUUAAUUAAGAGGUUCAGAUGGUUUUAGGUUUUAUCGCCCUGCUGUCUGUGCCGAGGUGCUGUAUCACGGAAGAGGGGGACUGGAAAGUGACAACUGAGCCCCUGACUGGAGGCAGACCGAAUACAAGUCUUGACGUGACGCUGAAGCCGUGGAUCUCACGCACCAUUAAUGUCAUCUGACAUUACCAUUUUGUUUCCCAAGCUCAUGGGCAAAAGUGGUAGAUUAUCAGUUCAUUGGUGGGAGCAGGACGUGUAAGAGUGUGUACAUUCAUGAAUGAAUGAGAAGGAGAAGAACUACAGACAAAAAGAUUUUGAAGAAUCUGAGGCGUAGACAACUGUGUAUAUGGAUAUCAGAUAUGACUCCAACUUCUUAUAAUCUCUGUGAAGUUCAUCUUCAAAGGAAGAUUUGUCACUGCUGGGACUAUUGAAAGAACUAAAACAUGUUCUAGAGGAAAUCAAAAGAGGAGUUUUAUAAAAAGAGUAGGCAUUGAUAAUAUUCAUGGAACAAGCACACACACUGUUUCUCCAAGUGACAGCUAACAAGGAGCCAUCAAGCAUUGAAAGUAAAUUCUGCUAUGAAAAUGUUCUUUAGAAUACUGACGUUUUGUAUUCAGGUCCUAGGUAUCAUACUACUUUGUCAUUGAAAUCAAAACUCAUUGCCUGUCCUCUGGUAGGAAAUUGCUCUGUCCCUUCCUUCAUUCUGGACACACAGCCAGCC
rnacentral:lncRNA from 1 species